GUCCCUGUGGUGAAACGGAUAUCACAUUUGCCUUCGAAGCAAAAAUUCUGGGUUCAAAUCCUGGCGGGGACACAA
rnacentral:tRNA from 1 species